CCUACGGGUGGCAGCAGUGAGGAAUAUUGGUCAAUGGGCGGAAGCCUGAACCAGCCAAGUAGCGUGCAGGAUGACGGCCCUACGGGUUGUAAACUGCUUUUAUACGGGAAUAACGCGCCUUACGUUUAGGGCUUUGCAUGUACCGUAUUAAUAAGGACCGGCUAAUUCCGUGCCAGCAGCCUCGUUAAUACGGAAGGUCCGGGCGUUAUCCGGAUUUAUUGGGUUUAAAGGGAGCGUAGGCCGCAUGUCAAGCGUGCUGUGAAAUGUCCGGGCUCAACCCGGGCCUUGCAGCGCGAACUGGCGUGCUUGAGUCCGCGGAAAGCAGGCGGAAGUCGGCGGGGAGCGGUGAAAUGCUUAGAUAUGACGAAGAACCCCGAUUGCGAAGGCAGCUUGCUGCAGCGGAACUGACGCUGAUGCUCGAAAGCGCGGGUAGCGAACAGGAUUAGAUACCCGAGGAGUC
rnacentral:rRNA from 1 species